AUGUCGCAAGACUGGAUGGAUGAUU
rnacentral:piRNA from 1 species